AACGUAUCUGCCAAAUCAGGAAGAGGAACUGUUCUAGCCAGUCACAAUCCUCAGGUGGAAGAAGAUUAAGAGUGAAACGGAGGUUAAAAAAAAGCGAACAGACGGAUUGGAUUGGAGAGCGCUCUGGUGUUGUGACCAAGUCUGUUCCCCAGCUGAUAUGUGUCUUCUUGUACCAUCAGGACUUGAGAAGGUUCAAAACUUCAGUCAAGUCUAACAUCCUCGAGGAGAACACGUCACUUUCACUCUGACAGUGUCGCUGCAGGUGCUGAAAGAAUAAAGAGGAAAACAGCUGAUGAUUCGUGUUCGCGCAGCCGUGAAGGAACUCGACGACAGUAAAUCACACAUGACCCACAUCCACACAGCUGGAUGACUCACUGUUCAUACAUGUGACACUCUGCAGCUGCCUCCACCAGCUUUAAUCAGACGCUCCUCACGAGCUGAUGUAUGUUUCAAUCUGCCCGUCAAACCGGCCUCGGUUGUUUACUUCACACUGUUUUCCUCCCUGCGAGACGUCGAUGCAGCCGCUGUGCUCCGGAUGAUGAUGUGUUCCUGCAAAUGUCAGAAUAUAUUCCGAGGACUCCGACGAGAACUGGAACAUCUUUGAAUUUAAUGUAAAUGUAAAGUCUAAACACAAAGCUCUGACAGCGUGUCAUCGCCUUAAUGAACCCGUCGACAUGUCGCAGAUUGAUGGAGAAUUUCAAGGAGGCAAAAUGAAUUCAAAGACUAUUUAAUAUGUAAAAAGCUUGUGGAUGUUGCUUUUCUUACAGCGUAGUUUGAUGAUUUAUUAACGGGACAAAACACUUGUUGGAGAGAAAUCUAUAAAUACAUUAAAAGCACUUGUGAAGCAGUGAUUGGCCCUUUCAGAGGCUCCUCCCCCAGUGCUGAGCGGCGGUGCUAAUACAGGAUCGUGACCUGUAGUUUCCACAGUAAAAGCCUGAAAAGCCUGAUAGAUCUCAACACACAGAUGAACAGUAAGUAGGGAUCACAGGUUAAAUCUGGGUGUGGGUUAAUAUGCAAAUCCAAAAGUCCUCAACAACCGUCCAUGUGCAAGAAAGCAAGAUGGAAGUCGCAUCAAUAUGCCUGCGAUGUGUGAGCAGCAGAGGUUAAAAGACCAGGUUUUUUUUGCAGAAGUGGUGAUAUGAUAUGUGUCAUCAUGUGAGCUGUGCUGUGAGCUGAAAGAGGCUGUUUGGAGUAAAUCCUGAAAAAACAGGAAGAUACGACGAUCUGGAAAGACAUAAAACAUGUUGUUCUUUACAGUGUGUGAUGAUAAUCGACUGGAAAGAAAGAAAUAUUUACCUACGAAUUAAAAACAUAUAGAGUUAUUGCAGACUGACAAACAUUUUGUGUUACCGUGCUGACAAGCCAACAAACCAACUGACUGACUGAAAUGCUGAAGGACAGGAAGUUCAGACAGACGGGUUCACGUGUGGUUGGUUUGUGUCUUCUUACGUGAUUUAUACCAAACUGAUCCUGUUAAACCUUCGUGUCCUGUUUCCUGGAGACAGAAACAACCUCGCUCCUCAUUCUCUCCUCGAAGAAUCUAAAGUCAACAACGUUUCUGCUUCACCUCAGAAGAUUUGUCUUCACACUGACAAAGUUAUUUUCUUAAAAGCACUCGGCUGCCGACUCAACGCUUUCUUUAUGAUUUGUCACGACGUGUUCAGGGUCACGGUCUCUUUUCUCUCCACAUCAUCCUGUUUAUCUCGUCUGCUCUGAUUGAAUCGACCUUCGUUGUGACUCCUGGAGACACCGAAUCUGUUUUUCUUCAUGUAUCUGAAAAACUUUCAUUAUUUUCUCCACAAACAUCCCACUUAUUACAUAAAGGCGUCAUUAUGACUCUUUACUCUGAGCUGUGGAGGCUUUUUUACAAAGUAUUUUACAGCCACACGUUCCAGAAAGACUAAAUUAAUAUGUGAAAAAGUCUAAAUUGUAACAGCUUUUUGUUAAACUAUCCUUAAACACAUAUCUCAGUCAAGCCUCGAGUAAAUGUAAGGCUGCUGUUGAACCAUUUGGAGUAGAGACGUGUUUUUUUUAACGGUUUGUCUGAUUUUCUUUUUCCUAUAUGAUCAGAAGCUCUGUGAGUUUUAAAGGUGAAAAUCAGCAUGCAGAUGUUGUGUAACUGCCCCUUUAACCUGGAGAACAUAAAGAGUCCACGUCAUAUGGUCUUAAAUGAUCCAAGUUUAUAUUUUACAACAAUAUCAGUGAAAAUUUACAAUUUAAACUAGAUAUUUCUUAGUUUGUGUUCAGUCGUCAUUAAUAAAGAUAAUUAUUAUAAUAAAGACCUGGUGGGUCCAACAAACUGAACCAGCCACUGCAUUUAGUCACACAGACUGCUAACUCUGCUAAUCAUCUGUAAGUUGUGUAGUAUUGUUGAAAUAAACAAAAAGAAAUGGUAUUACAUUCCUGCAAAGACCCAGGUGUCUUUCUGGAGUCUCAACAAAUGACCUCGUCUAGACAGAAAACACUGCAACGCUCAUCUGUGGUUGUUUUAACAUCCACUUUGGAUCCGUGUCUGCCGCUCGUCUGAGACUGUAGGCUGACACACCAGAGCCGCAGGUCGCUUCUGCACACAGAGCGGACUUCUGUUUCAGUUUCCACUGUGUUUGAGCUGCUCAGUAACACAGAGAGCCACAGUAACCACUUUAUUACAGGUAUGUUGUGGCCUUUCGAAGGGUUGAUGGUGUUUUUCUUGGUACUCUGACAGAUAAAAGCAUGAAAAAAAAAAACCUGGGGUUGCAGUUUGUUGCCACUGCUUCAAGAAAUAAUGUGAGCUGGACUAACUGUGACACUGAGAUGGAUUUACUGAACAUCUGAGCAAUGAGACACCCAGAAGCUCAAUCGUUGAGGUGCCACACAUUCCUACAUGCUUGAUCUGAACCAAAUCACAAGAACAGUGUUGGAGCCAUUUUUUGGUUCAUGUAUUUGUUUAUUUUUUGUGUAACACCUUGAUGCCACAGUAGGUGGCGCUCUGUGCUGUGGGCUGCAGGAAACUGUUAAAUAGAACAGCAGGUAACUACUCAGCAGGUGUGCUGCUGACUGGGGAAGCACAGUUUUUCACCGUCGUUGUCAUCUUAUUACUGCGUCGUGGCAAACAUCAGCCUUCUGGUUUGUUUGUUUUUUCCAGGUGACACAGUUAAUGUCAUUGUGUGCACAGUCCAGCUGAGGUCGCUUAUUUGUUAAGAGCAAAAAAGCACAAAUAAAGGUUUGGUGAUUGUUGUGAUAAGAACACGUCAGAUGGCUUCUUCUUGUAACGAAGGGCCUGUUUUUGUUUUAUGGCGCCAAAAUGAAGCAAAACAUUCUUAAAAUAAAAGCACAAUCUUUCCAUUCAGUGAAGGUAAUUUGGUUUCUUGCUCUCAGAAUUGGACCUGAACCGUGGUGAUCUGAUCUUUGACAACUGUUAUCUGUUCUGAGGUGAGGUUUUAUUCCAGAGCUGCAGUCAGACUCCUUCCAUACAGAUCAUCACCGUCAGCGUAUCCUGGUUUAUCUAAAGAUCUGACACACGUCCUGAGAGACCGAUCAAACUCUGCAGAGUGUCUCUGUGAGGAUAUUUUCAUCCUGGAGAAAGAAAAACAUCUGCUGAACGAGCUUCAGGCUGUUUCAAUGAUACUUAUAUUU